GACGAACGCUGGCGGCGUGCUUAACACAUGCAAGUCGAACGGAAAGGCCUCUUUCGGGGGGUACUCGAGUGGCGAACGGGUGAGUAACACGUGAGUAACCUGCCCUUGACUUUGGGAUAACUUCAGGAAACUGGGGCUAAUACCGGAUAGGAGCUCCUGCUGCAUGGUGGGGGUUGGAAAGUUUCGGCGGUUGGGGAUGGACUCGCGGCUUAUCAGCUUGUUGGUGGGGUAGUGGCUUACCAAGGCUUUGACGGGUAGCCGGCCUGAGAGGGUGACCGGCCACAUUGGGACUGAGAUACGGCCCAGACUCCUACGGGAGGCAGCAGUGGGGAAUAUUGCACAAUGGGUGGAAGCCUGAUGCAGCAACGCCGUGUGCGGGAUGACGGCCUUCGGGUUGGAAACCGCUUUCGCUCAUGACGAAGCUUUGUGUGACGGUAGUGGGCAAAGAAGCACCGGCUAACUACGUG
rnacentral:rRNA from 1 species